GGAGGGUGGUGCACCCAGGGAUGGCAUGGGACCUUUGCACCCCUUCCUUCAUACCUCUCCCUAUGCAUCUCUUCACCUGUAUCCUUUCUAAUAUUCUUCAUACUAAACAGGGCUAAGCUCAAGACCCAGGUUUGGCAAAUGAGUACAUCACAGCUGCUCUAGCAAGGGAAUAAAUUCGCCAAUGACCAGAUGACCCAGUUGGUUAAGGCACAGCAUUCAACUCCCCCAGAGGAUGCAGCAUCAAAGUGCCAACUUGCAAGCAGUGAGAAGCUCUUAAAAGACAGCUGAACCUGCAGCUCCUUGAUCUUGGACUUUCUGUCCUCCAGAACUGAAAUUUGGUGCUAAGUCUAGUGAGUUGGACAUGGCCAUUCGAUGGAGGCUCCCAAGAACAAUGAAGUCAGGCAUCUAUUCUUUCUCUCACUGUGACUGUGAUGACCUGGCCGAGGCAAACACUUUCAGGUAGGUGCUCAGAAGAGACUUUAAAAUGAGACGGCAGAUUUUACUUUUAGAAAUAUGAACAAAGAACUGAAUAAGAUGCUAAAAUAAGAGAUAAAUUAUGCAAAUGCCUAUAAUAAUGAACA
rnacentral:lncRNA from 1 species